rnacentral:rRNA from 1 species
UACGUAGGGGGCAAGCGUUGUCCGGAUUUAUUGGGCGUAAAGAGCGUGUAGGCGGCCAUACAGGUCAGCUGUGAAAACUCGAGGCUCAACCUCGAGACGUCGGUUGAAACCGUUUGGCUAGAGUCCGGAAGAGGAGAGUGGAAUUCCUGGUGUAGCGGUGAAAUGCGCAGAUAUCAGGAGGAGCACCAAUGGCGAAGGCAGCUCGCUGGGACGUGACUGACGCUGAGACGCGAAAGCGUGGGGAGCAAACAGG